CCCCCGUCGUUCCAUGUGCAGCCGAAAACUGUGAUCAACCUGUCCAAACCUGGCUUUCUGCAGUAAGCUCCUGUACAAGCAGCCAUGUAGGAAAUGAAGAGAUGCCAACAGCUCAGCGAUGCUCUGCUCUUUACCCAACAUGGGGCACUUAACCUCAACAAGGUAUUUCUUUUUAUCCUGAAUUACAACACCAUCAGGACUGUAGC